rnacentral:misc_RNA from 1 species
UGGGCUAUGAGUGGGGCGUCCACUCUCAUAUGUACAAGACUUCCCCAACAGGGAUGGUCACGCAGUGUCUGGCUGCAGUGCCACCCGCUGGCUGCGCUGUGGCCGGAGCUGUGCGUGGGUCCUUGCGGUGGGGGCUGGGACCUUCCUCUUGGGCCUCGCUAGGAGCGGUUCAGGAGUGAGUUCUGGAUGUCUUCUAGGACCUGGUGGAAAAGCUCCUCGCGGGACUUCAUGCCGUCCAGGUACACCACUUCCACACCGUUGGCCUCCAUCUCCCGCUUAUACUUCUGGUACAUAGGCCACACGUGGCCGUCGAAGAGGCCAGGGGGAUCAGGGACCGCGUAGCUUCGCUUACUUCUCCUCCACUUGCACUCUUCGUAGGGGACGGUCAGGA